UAAAAAAUUUUGGCGGUAUUUUAAGCUUAUUAGAGGAAUUUGCUCUGUGAUGGACACAACGCCUUAAUCUUACUUAAUUUAGUAAUUUAAAUCAGUUUGUAUACCACUAUAUUAAUUAUAUUGAAUAGUUAUAUUUAAAAUUUUUUUAAAAAAAUAUAUUAAGUCAAGGUGCAUCUAAUAAUUAUGAAUGAAGUGAAUUACAUUAAUUUUAAUGUAAUUUUUUACAUGAAAAAAUUAAUUAGGAUUUAAUAGUAAAAUACUAAUAUUAUGAGUAUUUGAAUCAAGCUCUAAAAUAUGCACAUAUCGCCCGUCGCUCUCAGAAGUGAGAUAAGUCGUAACAAAGUAAAAAUACUGGAAAGUGUUUUUUAAAAUGAAAUCAUUCGAUGUUUCAUUUACAAUGAAAAUUUUGUUAUUUAACCAUUUUAA
rnacentral:rRNA from 1 species